rfam:Faecalibacterium prausnitzii L2/6 draft genome.
GCCGCUCAGAUAUGCUACCUCUCCGUGGUGAGCAGCAGGCAACGAGAGUUUUCUCUCGGCUAAAGCAUAU